rnacentral:rRNA from 1 species
UGGAAAGGUAAGCCGGAGAGGGUGACAGCCCCGUACGAGUAGAAAAGCUGACUGUUCUUGAGUAAGGCGGAGCACGAGAAAUUCUGUCUGAAAAUGGGGAGACCACUCUCCAAGGCUAAGUACUACUGAUUGACCGAUAGUGAACAAGUACCGUGAGGGAAAGGUGAAAAGCACCCCUAUAAGGGGAGUGAAAGAGAACCUGAAACCGGAUGCCUACAAGCAGUCGGAGGGUCUAUAAGGCCUGACGGCGUACCUUUUGUAUAAUGGGUCAGCGACUUAAUUUAUGUAGCAAGCUUAAGCCGAUAGGUGUAGGCGUAGAGAAAUCGAGUGUUAACAGCGCGUUAAGUUACAUGAAUUAGACCCGAAACCGAGUGAUCUAGCCAUGAUCAGGUUGAAGGUUGGGUAACACCAACUGGAGGACCGAACCCACUCCCGUUGAAAAGGUAGGGGAUGAAUUGUGGCUAGGGGUGAAAGGCCAAUCAAACUCGGAAAUAGCUGGUUCUCCGCGAAAACUAUUUAGGUAGUGCGGUGAGCGGACACCUUGAGGGGUAGAGCACUGGAAGAGCUAAGGGGGAGCGAUCCUUACUAAACUUUACCAAACUCCGAAUACUCAAGAGUGAUACUCACCAGACAGACAUUAGGUGCUAAGGUCUAGUGUCGAGAGGGAAAGAGCCCAGACCGCCAAUUAAGGUCCCAAAAUUAUGGCUAAGUGGUAAAGGAAGUGAAACGUCCAAAACAGUCAGGAGGUUGGCUUAGAAGCAGCCAUCCUUUAAAGAAAGCGUAAUAGCUCACUGAUCUAAACAAGACGUCUUGCGCCGAAGAUGUAACGGGGCUAAAGCCAUAUACCGAAGUUGCGGAUUUACACGUUAAAGUGUAAGUGGUAGCGGAGCGUUCUGUAAGCCUGCGAAGGUGUACCGUAAGGUAUGCUGGAGGUAUCAGAAGUGAGAAUGCUGACAUGAGUAGCGAAAAGAAGAGUGAGAGACUCUUCCGCUGAAAGUCCAAGGUUUCCUGCGUAAAGCUAAUCUGCGCAGGGUUAGUCGGUCCCUAAGGCGAGGCAGAGAUGCGUAGUCGAUGGCAAUCAGGUUAAUAUUCCUGAACCGGCCCGGAAGUGACGGAUUGAGUAAAUUGUAAGUUCUUAUUGGAUUGAGCUUGCAGUGAAUCAGUCCCAGGAAAUAGCCCGGGCUAAGACCGUACCCGAAACCGACACAGGUGGACAGGUAGAGAAUACCAAAGCGCUUGAGAGAACUAUGUUGAAGGAACUAGGCAAAAUACUUGCGUAACUUCGGGAUAAGCAAGCCCCAUUUUAAGGCAACUUAGGGUGGGGGGCACAUACUAGGGGGUAGCGACUGUUUACUAAAAACACAGGGCUCUGCUAAAUUGAAAGAUGAAGUAUAGGGUCUGACGCCUGCCCGGUGCUGGAAGGUUAAGGAGAGAUGUGCAAGCAUUGAACUGAAGCCCCAGUAAACGGCGGCCGUAACUAUAACGGUCCUAAGGUAGCGAAAUUCCUUGUCGGGUAAGUUCCGACCUGCACGAAUGGCGUAACGACUUCCCCGCUGUCUCCAACAUAGGCUCAGCGAAAUUGAACUCUGAGUUAAGAUGCUCAGUACCCGCGGUUAGACGGAAAGACCCCGUGAACCUUUACUAUAGCUUUGCAGUGGUAUUAGGUAACAAAUGUGUAGAAUAGGUGGGAUGCUAUGAAGCUACGACGCCAGUUGUAGUGGAGCAGACUUUGAAAUACCACCCUUUUGUUGUUUGAUAUCUAACCUGCUCCCGUUAUCCGGGAGAGGGACCCUGCAUGGUGGGUAGUUUGACUGGGGCGGUCGCCUCCCAAAGAGUAACGGAGGCGCGCAAAGGUUGGCUCAGAUUGGUCAGAAAUCAAUCGUCGAGUGCAAUGGCAUAAGCCAGCCUGACUGCGAGAGAGACAUUUCGAGCAGAUACGAAA